UACAGAGGUCCCAAGCGUUGUUCGGAUUCACUGGGCGUAAAGGGUGCGUAGGUGGCCAGGUAAGUUUGGUGUGAAAGCUCGGAGCUUAACUCCGAAAAGUCAUUGAAUACUAUCUGGCUGGAGGGUCGGAGGGGAGACUGGAAUUCUCGGUGUAGCAGUGAAAUGCGUAGAUAUCGAGAGGAACACCAGUGGCGAAGGCGAGUCUCUGGACGACACCUGACGCUGAGGAGCGAAAGCGUGGGGAGCGAACAGG
rnacentral:rRNA from 1 species